CGUUAGCGGCGGACGGGUGAGUAACACUGGGUAACCUACCUAUAAGACUGGGAUAACUUCGGGAAACCGGAGCUAAUACCGGAUAAUAUUUCGAACCGCAUGGUUCGAUAGUGAAAGAUGGUUUUGCUAUCACUUAUAGAUGGACCUGCGCCGUAUUAGCUAGUUGGUAAGGUAACGGCUUACCAAGGCGACGAUACGUAGCCGACCUGAGAGGGUGAUCGGCCACACUGGAACUGAGACACGGUCCAGACUCCUACGGGAGGCAGCAGGC
rnacentral:rRNA from 1 species